rnacentral:rRNA from 1 species
UCGGGGGCAUCAGUAUUCAGUUGUCAGAGGUGAAAUUCUUGGAUUUACUGAAGACUAACUACUGCGAAAGCAUUUGCCAAGGAUGUUUUCAUUAAUCAGUGAACGAAAGUUAGGGGAUCGAAGACGAUCAGAUACCGUCGUAGUCUUAACCGUAAACUAUGCCGACUAGGGAUCGGGCGAUGUUCUUUUUCUGACUCGCUCGGCACCUUACGAGAAAUCAAAGUUUUUGGGUUCUGGGGGGAUUAUGGUCGCAAGGCUGAAACUUAAAGAAAUUGACGGAAGGUCACCACCAGGCGUGGAGCCUGCGGCUUAAUUUGACUCAACACG